GAUGCUCUGGUGGAGUUCCCGGUGGAUCCGGUAGUCAGGUACGCGCGGUUCCUCUGCUCCCACCACCCCUUCCGCAAAUCUCUGUCGCCGCGGUGUGCUGAUCUGCGGUGCCCAGCCUGGUAGGUUGCCUAUCUUCCAAAAUGCGAUACGUGUGGCGGCGCCGGAUCUCGAUGGAGGGAGCGAGGUGAGUAGCCGUCGGGACGAUGUGGCUCCGGAGUCUUCCGUGGCUGCGCCUGCGGAAUCGGGUGAAUCCGGAUCCAAGAGCGCGUGAGAUUAGGAGGUAAUGAAUCAUGCUUGCUGUGUGCUAUUUCUGUGUGGAUUACCCAUGCGUGCUACGACUGCAAAAAUAGAAAAUCUGGAAGAAUGGAAAGAGAUGUGUAGUGUGUCGUAUCAGUGAUGAACAGGAGGAAAAGAAUAAGGAAGUUAGCUGAUAGGAUAUUUGUGGACUGUGCCGUGGGCGGUGUGUAUAUUUUCUUGCUUUGCCAUUGUUGUUGGUGACGUGAAUAACGUUGAAGGCAGAUGAGUACUCUGGUUGCAGAUAAUAUGUGGCGGAAAUCUUACUGCAAUCCUGUGUAACUCAGGGAAACGUUAGCUCUGGAAAAAUCAAAAAGUGACGUCAAUCUUGCUAUUGCUGAAAAUUGGACGAAAAUGAAUAGACAGCUUGCAGUUGAUAGAAUUUCCC
rnacentral:lncRNA from 1 species